ACGUAGGGGGCGAGCGUUGUCCGGAAUUACUGGGCGUAAAGGGUGCGUAGGCGGCGCUUUAAGUUGGAUGUGAAAUACCCGGGCUUAACCUGGGGGGUGCAUUCAAAACUGGGGUGCUGGAGUGCAGAAGAGGGAUGUGGAAUUCGUAGUGGAGCGGUGAAAUGCGUAGAUAUUAGGAGGAACACCAAAGGCGAAGGCAGCUUACUGGUCUGGAACUGACGCUGAAGCACGAAAGCGUGGGGAGCAAACAG
rnacentral:rRNA from 1 species